UCACUAGUGGUCAGUGGUCUUUUACCCUCUCCCAGCAGCAGCUGCAGCUCCAGCAUCUUCUGCGUCCCUGUGGUGCUGUGACAGUGACUUCCAGCAAGGGCCUAUAAUGCUCCUGUGUUCUGAUUCCUUCUAGUUGUGGAAAGAUUUGAAGCCAUUGUCCUAAAUUCAAGUUGUGAGAUGUAGCAGUAGAUGUGUCCCAAGGAACAUCAGCAAAACCAAUCAGCACGUCACCAGUGGUCACUGGUUCUUCAAACCCUUGUUCACACAAUUUAUACCAAAAGAAAGGGGAUUCAAUAUGACAAGUCACAAUGAGACUCGUGCAUUAUUUGACAAAAGCAAGCAGGAAGAGUUGGCCAACGUCCAGCUAAGAUCAUCUUUGAGGUCACUGAGCAAAAGCAGACAGGAGAUACUGGCUAUGUUCCAGCUUCCAUGGAACGGCAAAAGAACACAAGUGUGGUGUUUUUUUUAUAUUUCUUCCAGAGGAGAUAGGUUAAACAGGAAGAGAAACAAACAAAAAGAAUUGGAGGAGUCUUGUAGAUGGCUCUAUGUUUGACACAGAAACAUGACAUGUUAUUUAGGUUACGCAGAUCAGGGUUGCUGGAAGCUCCCUCUUAGUGUGUUUCCCUACUGUCGGUGGACGUGACAAGACACAGAGAGGGUACUGCCGGCUGCUAGAGAUUGGUUGGCGCUGGGUGAUGGCUUUCUGUAAUAUAGAUGUCUUGCAGAUCAAGCACUACCAGAAUUAGCAAGGAAACAAAUCUGAGAGUCCGCUGGCACCUGAGAGCUUUAUUUCCACCCAGACAUGCUACAUCAUUUAACCCAUAUGAGUUAUUUAAACAGAAACUGGUAUUUGUUCUGUCAGUAAAG